UACGUAGGGCGCAAGCGUUGUCCGGAAUUAUUGGGCGUAAAGAGCUCGUAGGCGGUCUGUUACGUCUGAUGUGAAAGCCCACGGCUCAACCGUGGAGGGUCUUUGGAAACUGGGGGACUUGAGUACAGAAGAGAAGAGUGGAAUUCCACGUGUAGCGGUGAAAUGCGUAGAGAUGUGGAGGAACACCAGUGGCGAAGGCGACUCUUUGGUCUGUAACUGACGCUGAGGCGCGAAAGCGUGGGGAGCAAACAGG
rnacentral:rRNA from 1 species